rnacentral:rRNA from 1 species
GCAAGUCGAGGGGCAGCAUUGAUUGCUUGCAAUCAGAUGGCGACCGGCGCACGGGUGCGUAACGCGUAUGCAACUUGCCCUUAACUGGGGGAUAGCCCGCAGAAAUUCGGAUUAAUACCCCAUAAUAUUCAAUGAUCACAUGGUCGAUGAAUUAAAACUCCGGUGGUUAAGGAUGGGCAUGCGUCCCAUUAGCUAGUGGGUAAGGGAACGGAAUACCAAGGCAACGAUGGGUAGGGGGCCUGAGAGGGUGGGC